rnacentral:rRNA from 1 species
AUACGUAGGGAGCGAGCGUUGUCCGGAAUCACUGGGCGUAAAGGGUGCGUAGGCGGUUAUUUAAGUCAGAUGUGAAAUACCCGGGCUUAACCUGGGGGCUGCAUCUGAUACUGGAUGACUUGAGUACAGGAGAGGAAAGUGGAAUUCCUAGUGUAGCGGUGAAAUGCAUAGAUAUUAGGAGGAACACCAGUGGCGAAGGCGGCUUUCUGGACUGUAACUGACACUGAGGCAUAG